AUUGAACGCUGGCGGAAUGUUUUACACAUGCAAGUCGAACGGCAGCACGGACUUCGGUCUGGUGGCGAGUGGCGAACGGGUGAGUAAUGUAUCGGAGCGUGCCCAGUCGUGGGGGAUAACGUAGUGAAAAUUACGCUAAUACCGCAUACGAUCUAUGGAUGAAAGCGGGGGAUCGAAAGACCUCGCGCGAUUGGAGCGGCCGAUAUCAGAUUAGGUAGUUGGUGGGGUAAAGGCCCACCAAGCCAACGAUCUGGAGCUGGUCUGAGAGGACGACCAGCCACACUGGAACUGAGACACGGUCCAGACUCCUACGGGAGGCAGCAGAGGGGAAUUUUGGACAAUGGGCGAAAGCCUGAUCCAGCCAUUCCGCGUGCAGGAUGAAGGCCCUCGGGUUGUAAACUGCUUUUGUACAGAACGAAAAGGUUUCUACUAAUACUAGGAGCUCAUGACGGUACUGUAAGAAUAAGCACCGGCUAACUACGUGCCAGCAGCCGCCGUAA
rnacentral:rRNA from 1 species